rnacentral:antisense_RNA from 1 species
AAUUUGGGAACGAGAUGCCCGGGGAUGCAACCAGCCCCGCGCUCGGAGGCGGCGGCCGGAGUUCCGUGCGCAGAGGGCACACAAAAGCCUCGAGGAUCAUUGCCUCGACCCCAUCCCCCACCGCGCGGCGACGCCCCCUACGGGCUGGGACACCCCCACCCUCGGACUGCUGCCGGGUUUUCCUCCGGCUGCGACCCUGGAGGAUUUGAUGGAAAUGCUACAAGAGAAGCAGGCUCUCCUCUUCUGAAAUGAUAAGUGAUAAUGACCAUACAGGUCAACUUUUCCACCAGUUGGAGGGAGCCUGUCAAAGAACAAAGGCAACAGAGAAGAGAGCAGAGCUGAGGUUGGGUGAGAGGGAGAAAUUCCUGAGUGCUUGAAUCCCACAUGCCGGAAGCCGCACCACACUUGGGCUUCUCAAUACAGGAGCCACUGAGAAACCAAGUCAUGCUGAAGACCUGGAAAUCCCAGCAGGCUGCAAACCAGCUGCAACCACAAUGGGUCAGCCCUUUUGAGAUGCUGCUGACUACCCACUCAUCUGCCAAGUUAGCCAGUGUUAAGCCAUGGAUUCACCACGCUCAGAUAAAACCUGUCCCUCUGGGAUCCCUCCAGAAAAAAACAGGCAUGCUCUUGUGAACCCUAAGAUGGCCUUAAGUUAAUAUUCAAUGCCCAGCCAAAGACCCUAAAUAAGAAGUCAUAAAGGGAACAUGUGUUUCCAGGUUGGUAUUAUUCUCCCCAAAACCCUUCUUGCAUGCAGGAUGUAAUGAAUCAGAAAUACUUUUUAGUAAUUUUUUUUUUUUUUUUUUUGAGACAGAGUCUCACUCUGUCACCCAGGCUGGAGUGCAGUGGUGCAAUCUCGGCUCACUGAAACCUCCACCUCUCAGGUUCAAGCAAUUCUCAUGCUUCAGCCUCCCGAGUAGCUAGGACUGCAGGUGUGCACCACCACGCCCAGCUAAUUUUUGUAUUUUUAGUAGAUACAGGGUUUCACCACGUUGCUCAGGCUGGUCUUGAACUCCUGACCUCAAGUGAGCCACAUCUGCCUCGGCCUCCCAGAGUGCUAGGAUUGCAGGUGUGAGCCACCACACCCAGCCAUGAAUCAGAAAUAAUUUUUAAUAGGCUUAGGAUUGUUCUCUUGGCUUCCUUAAGGGAUCCACUUUAAUUCUUGGGUAUUUUUUUUUUAAUCGUGGUGCUCCAACAAGCGGGAUGCCAAUCAGGUACUCCUGAGUGCUUCAGAUUCAGGGGUGAUGUUUGCAUUUCCCAUCAUUAUCCCACAAUGCACCCCUUAGCAUUAAGUAGCCAAAAAGGCAGAUAACCAUAUUCCCCAUGAUUGAAAAAUUGAUGAAUAGAAAAAAGGGAUUAAGACCAGCCCAAUUGUCCAAUAGAAAUGAUAUUGCAGUUUUUAAAAGAAACAUAAAAAUUAACCCUUCCUGUUUUUAAAUUUUAAAACUUACAUUUAUCUCAUCUGAAUUCCUUCCUCAAAAAACAGACAGUCAGGCAAAAACAAAAACCUAAAACUCAUCAGAUCACUGUAUCCAGACAGAGAUGCCAGACCCCUCAUCCAUCAUGAUUGCUUCCAUACUCCUCCUUAAUUCCUAUUUUCCCACCUUUCCUGCUGUACAAAACCUCCAAUUUUAGUCGGUCAGAAAAACACAUUUGAGACUUUAUCUCCUGUUCUCCUUGGCUGCAACACCCCGUUAAAGCUUUUUUCCCUAGCAAUAGUUACUGUCUCAGUGAUUGGCAUUCUGUAUAACAAGCAGCAGAACCUAGACUGGACCCCUGGUGUUUCAGUAACAUUACCUUGUAGUAAAUGCCGCUGUGUCAUGCCCAGAUUCCCUUUACCAAGCCCAGAUCCCACAGGUUAAAGGGCUCAGCUCCACAAGACUUCAGACACCAGCCACAAAUGGGGUCCCCAGGUGACCCACACUUCUGCCCAGUGGACUAUAAAUUCAGGGGUUCUGUGACUUUUCCCACCCAGCUUUGAUAAUUCACUAGAAUCAUCACAGAACUCAGGAAAAUGCCAUACCUACUAUUACACUUUGUUAUGAUGGACACACACGAGCAGCCAGAUGGAGGGGUACUGAGGAAGGGUCUGAAUGCAGGAGGCUUUGUCCCUGGGGAGUUGGGAUGAGCCACUUUCCUGGAUGUGUUCACCAACUCAGAAGCUCUCCAAGCCCCAUUGUGUAGGGAUUUUUUAUGGCAGUUUCAGUAAGUACACAUGAUUGAUUAAAUCCUUGGCCAUUGGUGAUUGAACUCAAUCUCUAGCCCUUCUCCUGCUCUCAGAGGUGGGAGAGCAAGGCUGGAAGUUCUAACCUUCUCAGUACAUGGUUGGUUUUUCCUGUGUCCAGGCCCUAUCCUAAAGCUACCUAGGCCCCCUCUCCCCAACAAGAGUCAUCUCAUUAGCAAAAGAGUAAUUUCCAAGGGUGUUAGGAGCUCUAUGCUGGGAACCAGGGAACAAGAUUAAAUAUAUAUUUUGUAUUUUACCACAGGUACCAAUCACCCUCCAGAUCUAAGAAUGGCUUCAGGCUGGGGCUGCAGUCACCUCUUUGCCCAGCUUGUCCCCUGCCCUAUUCUGCUUAACUUGCAUCCUUAAAUGUUCCACCCAAGAGCUCUUCUUCAAGAAAGCACCCAUAAAGCCAGACACAUUGGCUUAUGCCUAUAAUCCUAGCACUUUGGGAGGCCAAGGUAGGAGGAUGGCUUGAGCCCAGGAGUUCAAGACCAGCCUGGGCAACUUAAUGAGGCCCCGUCUCUACAAAAAAUAAAAAAAUUAACCAGGUGUGGUGGUGUACGUCUCUAGUCUCAGCUACUCAGGAGGCUGUGGCAGGAAGAUGGCUUGAGCCCAGGAGGUCGAGGCUGCAGUGAGCUAAGAUCAUGCCACUGCACCCAUCUUGGGCAACAGAAUGAGAUCCUGUCUCUAAAAAAAUAAAAACAAUUUACAACAGUAAGCACCUGUACACAAGCCCCAUCUCCAGCCCUGUUUCUAGGGCUUCCAAUUGAACACACCUAGAGGCUGGGCACAGUGGCUCAUGCCUGUAAUCCCAAUAUUUUGGGAUGCUGAGGCAAGUGAAUCACUUGAGGUCAGGAGUUUGAGACCAGCCUGGCCAUGGCAAAACCCCAUCUCUACUAAAAUUGCAAACAUUAGCUGGGUGUGGUGGCACAUGCCUGUAAUCCCAGUUACUCGGGAGCCUGAGACAGGAGAAUCACUUGAACCCAGGAGGUGGAGGUUGCAGUGAGCCAAGAUCACACCACUGUACCCCAGCCUGGGCAAUGAAAGAAGACUCUGUCUCAAAAAAAUAAAAAAUAAAAUAAAACACACCUGGAGCUUUCUA